GACGAACGCUGGCGGCGUGCUUAACACAUGCAAGUCGAACGGAAAGGCCCUGCUUUUGUGGGGUGCUCGAGUGGCGAACGGGUGAGUAACACGUGAGUAACCUGCCCUUGAUUUUGGGAUAACUUCAGGAAACUGGGGCUAAUACCGGAUAGGAGCUCCUGCUGCAUGGUGGGGGUUGGAAAGUUUCGGCGGUUGGGGAUGGACUCGCGGCUUAUCAGCUUGUUGGUGGGGUAGUGGCUUACCAAGGCUUUGACGGGUAGCCGGCCUGAGAGGGUGAACGGCCACAUUGGGACUGAGAUACGGCCCAGACUCCUACGGGAGGCAGCAGUGGGGAAUAUUGCACAAUGGGCGGAAGCCUGAUGCAGCAACGCCGCGUGCGGGAUGACGGCCUUCGGGUUGUAAACCGCUUUCGCCUGUGACGAAGCGUGAGUGACGGUAAUGGGUAAAGAAGCACCGGCUAACUACGUG
rnacentral:rRNA from 1 species